rnacentral:rRNA from 1 species
GGCCCAACCCGUUCGUAGGAGGGAGGACGUGUCGAAGGUGGGAUCGGCGAUUGGGGUG